UUUUUUUUGUCUUUUGUCUUUUUAGGGCUGCACCCUCGGCAUAUGGAAGUUCCCAGGCUAGGGGUCUAAUUGGAGCUGUUGCUGCCGGCCUACACCACAGGCACAGUAACUCGGGAUCCAAGCCACAUCUGCAACCUACAUCACAGCCCACGACAACGCCAGAUCCUUAACCCACUGAGCAAGGCCAGGGAUCGAACCUGUGUCCUCAUGGAUGCUAGUUGGGUUCAUUAACCCCUGAGCCAUUAUGGGAACUCCCCCCCCCUUUGUGUCUCUCUCUGUCUGUUUCUCUUUCCCUGUCUCUCUGUCUCUCUCCUGUCUCUCUGUGUCCCUCUGUCACCGACUAUCUGUCUCUCUCUCAUACAGGUGUAUUGGAUCCACUGUCUGACUGCCUUGCAACCCCUGCAUCUUCCUGAGGCCUCCAGUCUGAAGAAGCUCCAGAACAAUGACAAUCUCCACACCAUCCAGGCUGCCUUAGAGCCCAGCGAAUAUUCAAACAAGUCCUCGCAUAUGCAUGACCACAGCAGUGCUGUCGUGAAAAAUUACCAAGCCACAAUCACCAAAACAUGGAAACAGUCCAAGAGGAAAACAAUCUAAGAUCAACUCCAAAAUCAAGGGGAUGGGGGUGGAGGAAAUGAGUGGAUUAAUCAAAUGUGGCUCGGGAGUUCCCAUUGUGGCACAGUGGAAAUGAAUCCAACCAGGAACCAUGAGGAUGCAGGUUCGAUCCCAGUCCCUGCCCAUUGGGUUAAGGAUCCAGCGUUGCUGUGAGCUGUGGUGUAGGUUGCAGAUGUGGCUCGGAUCUGGCAUUGCUGUGGCUGUGGCAUAGGCCAGUAGCUACAGCUCCGUUUGGACCCCUAGCCUGGGAACCUCCAUAUGCCAUGGGUGCGGCCCUAAAAAUACAAU
rnacentral:lncRNA from 1 species